GACAGAGAGAAGGCGUCGGAGAAGAAAUAAACGAACGCAAGGCAACGCGCUGCACUGCCAAAGCUGUGAGCCUGAGUUGCAGUCGGGUUUUCAUUUCUGGAAAUAAGUCGAGUAAACCACUUCGCUAGAAUCGGAGAAUUAAGACUUUGCAGAAGAGCAUUUCUCAACAAGUAUCUGCAUCUCCGUUUGAUUCAGAUUCCAUUUAUUAAAAGUGGUGAACGAUGUGAGCACCGAGACUUUAGAGGACAAUUAAAAGUUCCAGAGGGGGAAAAUGAUUUUGCAUGAUGCUAUGGUGAAGGACACUUGCACACGUCGCCACAACUCUACAUUAUCUGGGAUUAACAACAAUGUACAACAACCUGAGGUGUGGGACGAUAAUGGUGAACAUUGAAUGAUGUGGGGUUAUUAGCAAAGCGAGACGAUGGCAAGAGAUUUUCGUGCGAACACUCUUCUCCUUCUUUUUCUUCCUGCCCUAGCAGACGAUGGACAUGGACAUUGGUGACACCACGUUUGGUUUUGUAAUUUUUAAAAUACUAAGCAUUUUCCUUUUUUUUUUUUUUAGUCUUAUCCCAGUCAACAUUCUUGCUUUACACAAUAUUAAUAUA